rnacentral:lncRNA from 1 species
AGGACACUCCCAUUUUAUGCAGAGCAGCUAUUACGCGUUUUGACAUCCGUAAUGGUUGGUGGUAUAAAGCAUGUCCAUCUUGCUUUAAACAACUUCGAACUGCUGCCCACCGUGAUGAACUUUUGUGCCCAAAACACAAUAAUCAAAUUCCUCUCCCUUGGUAAUACAAAUCUCAACAAUUUGUUUCAUUUUAUUUUCCCAUAAUUUAAACACAAUCAUUAUAAAUUAUUAAAACAUUACAUAUAUUUUACAUACAGGUUCAAAGUGAGCUUGGUGCUUGAAGAUUCAACUGAUGAAACUAAUGCUAUCAUAAUUGGAAGACCAGCAGAACAACUGUUUAAAAUUUCUUGCAAUGAAUUGGUUGUUCAAAGAGGUUUUACCGACCAACAACAAUUACCAGAUGUGAUUCUGCAAACAAGAGGACAAGUUAAAAUUUUCCAACUUCGAUUUGGAAGCAUGAGAAGUGAUUUCAACAGAAAUGAUCUACUCAUUCAAGCAAUCUUCGAUGACACAAUGCCACUUAUUGAACCAACACCGCAAUCAUCUGACAAAAGUUUGGCUGCACAUGAUACAGAAA